GGUGCCAUCUGUGGAUGAGCUCAUCCGAUCUGUAAUACCUACAUCCAAAGCAGAUGCUGACAACACAUUUUGCCUUUGCAGACGAGCUGGGGCCCUGGUGAUGAAUAAGAUCCAGCUGCUGCCCUCAAAGCGCCUGCAGGCUGGGGUUCAAGUGCCAGGUGAAGCCCACCUUCCGGGACCAGGGUCAGCUUGAUCAGAGAUGGGUAAGUGGAUGUGCAGACAGCUGGCUGCAGGAUAUGGAGCAAGAAGGAAAAGAACCCAAGGACUGCCACUCAAAAUACAAGUCGGUACACAGAGAAUACAUACCAGAGGUGGCCGACAGUGAAAUAACUCACCCCAUUCAAUGCGGGGAAAAUGUGUCCCUCUCCUCUGAAGACAUUACGCUGUGCAGAAACCAUCCCUGUGUUUGCCCCCACACUGGACGGCAUCGUAAUCAUCUGUCAGCAUUUCCAUUCACUACACUUCCUGGCACAGAGCAGGGUUAAUAAAUAAUUGUUGGAAUAAACAAA